ACGAACGCUGGCGGCGUGCUUAACACAUGCAAGUCGAACGGGGAUAUCGCUGGAAGCCCUUCGGGGUGGAAGGCGGUAUUCGAGUGGCGGACGGGUGAGUAACGCGUGAACAAUCUGUCCCAGACAGGGGGAUAACACUUGGAAACAGGUGCUAAUACCGCAUGAGACCACGGGAUCGCAUGGUUCCGGGGUAAAAAGGAGAAAUCCGGUUUGGGGUGAGUUCGCGUCCGAUUAGCCAGUUGGCGGGGUAACGGCCCACCAAAGCGACGAUCGGUAGCCGAUCUGAGAGGAUGACCGGCCACAUUGGAACUGAGAGACGGUCCAAACUCCUACGGGAGGCAGCAGUGGGGAAUAUUGGGCAAUGGGGCCGAAAGCCUGACCCAGCAACGCCGCGUGAGUGAAGAAGGCCUUCGGGUUGUAAAGCUCUGUUAUAGGGGACGAAGGAAGUGACGGUACCCUAUAAGGAAGCCCCGGCUAACUACGUGCCAGCCGCCGC
rnacentral:rRNA from 1 species